rnacentral:snRNA from 1 species
NNNACAGUAAAGAGAAGAUUAGCAUGGCCCCUGCGCGAGCAUGACAUGCAAAUUCGUGAAACAUUCCAUAUUUUU